UAAACAGCUUCUUUUCCUUACUUUUUGUGCCUGCUGUUAUUGCAUUUGAGUGAAUUCUCAUUUGCUGCAGCCUGGGAUCUUGCUGCUCUGCUGUUUUUGUUAUGCUUUCCAUGGUGUUAUUUAUGGUCAUGUUAGCUUUCUACUUGUGAUCAGACCUCACAGCUUCCGUGUUGACUUAUGCUAUGGUUAACACUGAAGUGAGCUAACUAGAGCAGUAGAUAAAGAGAUGAAUUGAUACAAACUCUCAGCACUUUCUUCUGUGGGUAGAAGAAAUCUAACUUUUUCAAACUGCCCAGAAAAGGUGAGCCUCCAUACUCAAGGGCAGCUAAGAGAGACAAAGCCACAGAACCUAACUUGUGCAUCUUCAGUAAAUUAGUACGGAAAUUAAUUUAAAGCAAAUCUGAUCUUUGAGCUGCACCACUGUCUUUUCAACUGCACUAACCUCAGCACCUAUGCACUUUAGCAAGACACUGAUACACAGUAACAUAGCUCCAAGACUCUUUCUGAAAAAAUGGGAUAAUAAAUUCAUGUUAUGGUAUGAGGAGUAUGCAUGCAGUCACCAGAUACUGAUCAGGAACUGCCAUUCGCUUCUCUUAAUCAAUUCUUCUGAGAGUAAUUUAGAAUUAAAUCUCCUCUUGAGACCCACAUCAACAGCCACUGGAGACAAUAGAAUUUCUUCCAAUGCAAUUUGGUGCAGUCAUCUGAAAAUAUUCAGGUAGAACUUCUUCUAUGAGCAGAAUCCAAGGGACUGCUGAAAAUACCCUUCCUCCUCUUGUUUCAGCAAGAACUUUAGGAUUUUAAGGCUAACUUUUAUCACUAAGCUGUAGUAUUCCAAGUACUGUCUGUGCAUUUUUUUGGUUAAGCCUAUUUGAUGCAGUAUAUUGCUCAAAAUGAUUUGGAACUAAAAGAAGUGUUACAAUAGUGAAGAUUCCUGAAUAAAUAAUUCUCAAUUAAGUGUUAGCACCUAAUUAUAUUAACUUAUAGUAAUUACUGAUUCAAUUAUGGAAUUGAAGAUUAACCUGAAAAUGCAGACUGGCUAAUUUAUUUUUAUGAUAACUAUACACUAAUAGCACAUGUAGUUGGACUUCACUGUGUGCAAGCAAGGUAAGGGCUAUUUUAACACUCAUUUUAGAAGCUAGAUAAUCUUGUGACACUUGAAGAAUAUCUGAUUAGAAUAUGUACUGAAAUGUGUCUGAAACAAUAUUGUUUAAAGUCUCAAAUAUCCUGCACAGCUGUAGCAGAAUAAAUGGACAGAUCUUGUUAUAAUGGUUUUAUAUUGUUGUUAUGGUCAUAUUGUUAUGGUUUUAUAUUUUUUUCCUAGUAAAAUUUGAGUGGGGUGUUUCAUGUCAGAAUCUGACUUGUAUAGUAAGUAGAAAGCACAAAUAUCCACAAACACACUUGUUUGUGUUUUAUCUUGGCAAAAAGGAGAGCUGGAAUGUUUUAUGAUUCAAGUUUGGGUAGAAGAGAGAACAGGUUCAAUUGUUAGUUUAAAGGAUUUUAGUGAAGUAGCUAGGGAAAGCUUUUGAAUAUUAACACCGAGGUGGGGGAAUAGGUUGUCUGACUGCUGUGAAACUUUGAAGACCUUUAAGAGCAGUGCAGAAGGUGAAGGUGACACAGCUAAAGCUUCCCGUGGGUCAGAGAAGAUCAACAAGAUAAACUCCUGAGUUCCCUCUAGACCUCAGAUUUUAUGAAGGAAGAAAAAAUAUAGUGCAUAUGGCUUCCAAGAGUGACUGAUGUUUUGAUGACGACAUGGAUAACUGCUUUUAUUCUGAAGUGUGGACUUCUGCACAGUUAAAAGGGGGAAGAGAGAAUUCCUGAGUUGCUCCAAAAAUGUAAAGCUGGAUCAGCAGUAAAAGAUGUUGAAGCAGCAGCAUUUCCCUGAGAAGCAGCCAACUUAGAAGUGGAAUAUGGAUUAGUGUCAUCAGGAGCAGCAACAAGAGCUGCAUAGGCAGUCUGAUGGAGCACUUUCCUAGCACAUCAUACUGCAGCUGAACAGCUGAACCACUCAGAAUAUCACAGCUGAAAAAUUUUGUCCAGAAUCAUCAAGCAGAUUUGUACCCUCUACACUCUGAAUUUAUACAGGUUACUGAAUAAAGAUGAAUGAAUAUCUUACAUAGUUGGUAUAAUUUUGAUCUUCAUAAAAUAAAAAUGUAGUUCCACUACUGUAUGCAGCAGUGGCAUGAACUACAGUUUGAUAUUCCAUAGAGUAUCUUUGCAGAAGUCUGUAAUCUCUUGCUGGGAAAGGAAAAUAAAAGCUCCUUUUAAACAAUCCUGUCAGUUUUUCUUCAAAUUAUGCUUUAAUUGGAAAAACUGUAGCUGGAAAGACUCUAACAUAUUCAGAUAGAAAUGGGAAACACUCGAUUUUCUCUUUUAACAUGU
rnacentral:lncRNA from 7 species